AAGGCCUCUGUCAGCUGUGCUUCGGAUUUGUCACUCAGACCACAGGAAGCGAAGAACUUCUUGUGGCAGAAGGAGUCAGCAGCUGAAAACCACAGCAAUGUGAUUAUAAUAUACCAGAAUGAAGAGUUGUUAUUACACCACUGCUUUUACAACAGGUAAGAAUCAAAUCAGACCACAUGUUCUAAACUAUCUGAUCUGUUGACAAAUAUAGCCUUUAAAGAUUAUUGUUCCGGUCCUCUCGGUCUGUUGUUGUGUCCAUAUCCUUAAAACCAAAGCCAAACCAAAACUAACACAUGUUCCUGUAGAACAGUUCACAGAUGCUGAAACUCUGACCAGUGAUCCCUGUCUUCAUGCUGCUGCCAUUCUCAAAAGAAGAAAAAAACCCCACAGUGAUCUAUCCCUCAGCAAAAAAAAAAAAUCACCUUUUCCUUAAAAAGCACAGACUUCCAUCAGCAUUAUCCCCAGCUCUUCUUUUUUCUGUGUGUUUUUCAUGCAA